GUGUCAGCAGCCGCGGUAAUACGUAAGGACCGAGCGUUGUCCGGAAUCAUUGGGCGUAAAGGGUACGUAGGCGGUUAGAAAAGUUAGAAGUGAAAGGCUAUAGCUCAACUAUAGUAAGCUUUUAAAACUGUUUAACUUGAGAGAUGGAAGGGAAAGUGGAAUUCCUAGUGUAGCGGUGAAAUGCGCAGAUAUUAGGAGGAAUACCGGUGGCGAAGGCGACUUUCUGGCCAUUAUCUGACGCUGAGGUACGAAAGCGUGGGUAGCAAACAGGAUUAAAAACCCCCGUAGUCC
rnacentral:rRNA from 1 species